rnacentral:rRNA from 1 species
ACAAAAAGUCGUGCCUUCCCAGUGGGCAUUCGAGCCUAAACGGACGCGGUAAAUCGUGCUAAGGUAGCUAAAUUAUGGUCUAUUAAUUGUAGGUCUUGUGAAUGGUUUGACGAGUCUUCGACUGUCUCUAGGUUGUUUUGGUGAACUUGAAUUGGAUGUGUAAAUGCUUCCGUGGGUGAGAAAGACGAGAAGACCCCGUGAAGUUAGAAAUUAUAGCGUAUGAGAAUGUUAUCUCUCUCUUGGUUUAAGGUCAAGGUGUUUUGGGGCUCGGUUGGCUCUGGAGUGGGGGGGUGUAGUGAUUAGUUUUUGCUGGGGCAGCAAAAAGGCAAAUCUAGACCUUAAUUGUGUUAUAGAACGGGUGCGUUACGACCCACGGGCAAAAAGGUGUGAUUAGCAGAAGGAGUUACUCCGGGGAUAACAGCGUUAUCCGUCCUGAGAGUUCUUAUUGGCGGACGGGUUUGCGACCUCGAUGUUGGCUCUGGAUAUCCUGGGGCUUGCAGGCGGUCCCAAGGGUUGGUUCGUUCGCCCAUUAAAAUCC